rnacentral:lncRNA from 1 species
UGAGUGUUUCUGAAGAAGUGAUGCUGAGCUUGCUGUCAUAACUGUGAGUAGAAUCAGAAAUUCCCAGUUGUUUCGCAGGAGUUUUGCCGGCGGGACGCUGCUGAAGACACAUAGAAAAGAUCAAAGAUAUUCGUUAAGCACCAGAAUAUUUUUGUCCGAAAAAACAUUGGCUGGCACGUUCACGUUUCCCUCAGGGCUGAGCAUUGCUUUUAGUGCUGGUUGUAUUUUUUUACAAUAAAUACUUAUUUUUACACGUGA